ensembl:lncRNA
GAGCAACAGCCCCACUGUUAUCUGAUCCCCUGUUUUGGAGCCACUGUCGCAGCCAACAUAUCAUGGCAGCUUUAAGACUUAUAUGGCUUGGCAUUUUAUCAAAAUACAUCCUUGUUGAAUGUCAAAACAAAUGCGAAGAUACAGAGAUGUACCCUGCAAAGCCCUCUGGACCAUCUAAUGUGACUGAAGGGACCACAAUACAUUUCAAGUGUCAAACUAAUAGCAUCACUAUAAGCGGGGACAUGGUUCAUUUUUACCUUUGCAAGGAUGGAGUUGGGAUACAAAUGGCACCAAUGAAGAAAGGUGCUGAAUCUAUUUUCUUGUUAAAAGAAGUAAAAAAACAAGACUCGGGCAAGUACAGCUGUGUGUACAGCAAAUGUAAACACCCAGUCAGUCAAGUGAAGUCAACAGGGGAUUAUCUGGUCUUAUGGGUCAACAGAGACGAAGAUGUGGAAGGUAAGAUCAUGCCAAUAUUGUGUGUAGUGUAUGUUUUAAUGGUUGGAUACAUGGAUUGUUACAGUCUAUAUUGUUACAGUGCAGUUUACAAAGUUGUUGAUAAUACAGGUUCUGCAUAUUGCUUUGUGUUUCAUCUUUCAAAACAAUUUCAAUUGUGA